rnacentral:lncRNA from 10 species
GGCCUCUUUGGCCUGAUGGUACUGUACCCUUCAUAGAGUUAUUAUUUUAUGGUUUUAUUUUUUCAUAGCAAACAGCAACACUAUUUCUGAACUGUGGCUGUUUCUACAGAAAGGCUGAGUAGUAGGGCCAAGGCUAUCUUUUGCCCAGUGUCCUGGGACUCUGGGGUAUUGUGAUAGCCCCAGAAAGUGAGCAGCCCUUCAGUGACUGGACUUCUAGAAUCUGCCUCGCCUGCCCUCCAGCUUCCCUGAGCCCCUUCUGACCAGGGUUAUGUUUACUUCCUCACAGCCACUUUUACUUCUAGGUGUAACACCGCGAAGGUCUGUAGCUUCACUCCUGAACCAGCGAUCCCACGAGCCUAUUGGGAGGAAUGAACAACUACAGACACGCCGCCUUACGAGCUGUAACACACACUGGGAAGGUUUGCAGCUUCAUUCCUGAGCCAGUGAGACCACGAAUCAACCAAAACAAAGAAACUCCGAACACAUCUGAACAUCAGAAGGGACAAACUACAGACGUGCCACCUUAGGCGUGCUGUGAGCUGUACCACUCACCACGAGGGUUCUCGGCUUCAUUCUGGAAGUCAGUGAGACCAAGAACCCACCAAUUCCGGACACAACAUCAGUGUGAUCACUGUGCCUGGAAAUGGCCAAAUGUGCUAAUGGGAUAUAAGCAGACCUCUGACAGCAUCUGAUCACCUCUAAUGUGGUGGUAUUAGGCUGGACAUGAUCAAUUGCCAAAUUAUUAGCUGUAUAGGCAAUUAUCGCUGGAACAGAUGAGAGAAAGAAGAAAUCUGAUCACAGAAGCAUCUGCUCAGGUUGCCUUACUGUAAAUUUCACAGGGACAGAUUUGCCCCAGUUCAUUGUCACCUGUGAU